GGAAUCGUGACCGAGUGGCCGAAGGUGCUCCCCUGCUAAGGGAGUAUAGGGUGUAGAGCCUUAUCGAGAGUUCGAAUCUCUCCGAUUCCGCCA
rnacentral:tRNA from 3 species